AGUGAACGCUGGCGGUAGGCCUAACACAUGCAAGUCGAACGGCAGCACAGUAAGAGCUUGCUCUUACGGGUGGCGAGUGGCGGACGGGUGAGGAAUACAUCGGAAUCUACUUUUUCGUGGGGGAUAACGUAGGGAAACUUACGCUAAUACCGCAUACGACCUACGGGUGAAAGCAGGGGAUCUUCGCACCUUGCGCGAUUGAAUGAGCCGAUGUCGGAUUAGCUAGUUGGCGGGGUAAAGGCCCACCAAGGCGACGAUCCGUAGCUGGUGUGAGAGGAUGAUCAGCCACACUGGAACUUAGACACGGUCCAGACUCCUACGGGAGGCAGCAGUGGGGAAUAUUGGACAAUGGGCGCAAGCCUGAUCCAGCCAUACCGCGUGGGUGAAGAAGGCCUUCGGGUUGGAAAGCCCUUUUGUUGGGAAAGAAAAGCAGCAGGUUAAUACCCCGCUGUUCUGACGGUACCCAAAGAAUAAGCACCGGCUAACUUCGUG
rnacentral:rRNA from 1 species